GCAUAUCAAUAAGCGGAGGAAAAGAAACCAACAGGGAUUGCUCUAGUAACGGCGAGUGAAGCAGCAAUAGCUCAAAUUUGAAAUCUGGCGUCUUCGACGUCCGAGUUGUAAUUUGUAGAGGAUGCUUCUGAGUAACCACCGACCUAAGUUCCUUGGAACAGGACGUCAUAGAGGGUGAGAAUCCCGUAUGCGGUCGGAAAGGUGCUCUACACGUAGCUCCUUCGACGAGUCGAGUUGUUUGGGAAUGCAGCUCUAAAUGGGAGGUAAAUUUCUUCUAAAGCUAAAUAUUGGCCAGAGACCGAUAGCGCACAAGUAGAGUGAUCGAAAGAUGAAAAGCACUUUGGAAAGAGAGUUAAAAAGCACGUGAAAUUGUUAAAAGGGAAGGGAUUGCAACCAGACUUGCUCGCGGUGUUCCGCCGGUCUUCUGACCGGUCUACUCGCCGCGUUGCAGGCCAGCAUCGUCUGGUGCCGCUGGAUAAGACUUGAGGAAUGUAGCUCCCUCGGGAGUGUUAUAGCCUCUUGUGAUGCAGCGAGCGCCGGGCGAGGUCCGCGCUUCGGCUAGGAUGCUGGCGUAAUGGUCGUAAUCCGCCCGUCUUGAAACACGGACCAAGGAGUCUAACAUCUAUGCGAGUGUUCGGGUGUCAAACCCCUACGCGUAAUGAAAGUGAACGGAGGUGAGAACCGCAAGGUGCAUCAUCGACCGAUCCUGAUGUCUUCGGAUGGAUUUGAGUAAGAGCAUAGCUGUUGGGACCCGAAAGAUGGUGAACUAUGCCUGAAUAGGGUGAAGCCAGAGGAAACUCUGGUGGAGGCUCGCAGCGGUUCUGACGUGCAAAUCGAUCGUCAAAUUUGGGUAUAGGGGCGAAAGACUAAUCGAACCAUCUAGUAGCUGGUUCCUGCCGAAGU
rnacentral:rRNA from 1 species